CUUUAUUAUUACUCCAUAUGUUGUGGUGUUUGCUACAGCUGUGUAAGUUGAAGAAUCAUAUUCUUUGACUGUGAAGAUUGCUUCUGGGAAAUGACUGCCGUUGGUUGAGAAGCAGGCUAAAGUGCUUCUGACAUUUAUAUGUAGACAUUAAUAUAAAAAAUAGGCACCCUCUGGAUGAUGGCACGAAGCUCUCUGAUAAGGCCGCCUAUGGAAGGCAGUGAAGCGGAGGCCGACAGCGGAGCGGAAACCCUGCCAGCGUGUUCGGGGCCGAGGCACGCCUUACAGCAGGGAUGGAGAUCCCCGGACAUAAUGUAACCUGUGUGGCAGACGGCGCACACCCAUAGGGAAGGAGCGGUGCCUCGCCCUGGGCCGCUUCAGACUUCAUCCCUCCAGAGGAAACAAUCACUGACCGACCACAGCGGGCCAGUCGCUCCGCGAUCUCCUGUCCCUGGUCCACCCCACUCCCUCUCUGGUGCUGACAGGCUGUAAACGGUUUGUGACCGUUGGCUGGAUGAAUAUUACAUGAUCCAUGCACUACUCUGCUGAUUAGAGUGUGGCACCAGGUGAGUAGUAAAUAAAGGCCAGCUUUGCGCCCCCCGACCCCCCCGCGCGCUCUCGUGAAUACGCUUCAUUCGGGAGGGAGGGGUGGAUGGGGGGUGCAAAACAGUC